rnacentral:rRNA from 1 species
AGCGGGGGAAGGUAGCUUGCUACCGGACCUAGCGGCGGACGGGUGAGUAAUGCUUAGGAAUCUGCCUAUUAGUGGGGGACAACAUCUCGAAAGGGAUGCUAAUACCGCAUACGUCCUACGGGAGAAAGCAGGGGAUCUUCGGACCUUGCGCUAAUAGAUGAGCCUAAGUCGGAUUAGCUAGUUGGUGGGGUAAAGGCCUACCAAGGCGACGAUCUGUAGCGGGUCUGAGAGGAUGAUCCGCCACACUGGGACUGAGACACGGCCCAGACUCCUACGGGAGGCAGCAGUGGGGAAUAUUGGACAAUGGGGGGAACCCUGAUCCAGCCAUGCCGCGUGUGUGAAGAAGGCCUUAUGGUUGUAAAGCACUUUAAGCGAGGAGGAGGCUACUUUAGUUAAUACCUAGAGAUAGUGGACGUUACUCGCAGAAUAAGCACCGGCUAACUCUGU